rnacentral:tRNA from 1 species
UGGCUCAGUGGUUAAGAGCACUGGCUUCUCUUCCAGAAGACCUGGGUUUGAUUCCCAG